rnacentral:tRNA from 1 species
GCGUCCUUAGCUCAGCUGGAUAGAGUACCUGGCUACGAACCAGGCGGUCAGCAGGAUCCAAUCCUCCAGAACACGCCA